UAAUCUGCAUUGAACAAAAGACCCCCUCAAC
rnacentral:piRNA from 1 species